rnacentral:rRNA from 1 species
GAUGAACGCUGGCGGCGUGCCUAAUACAUGCAAGUCGAGCGAACGGACGAGAAGCUUGCUUCUCUGAUGUUAGCGGCGGACGGGUGAGUAACACGUGGAUAACCUACCUAUAAGACUGGGAUAACUUCGGGAAACCGGAGCUAAUACCGGAUAAUAUUUUGAGCCGCAUGGUUCAAAAGUGAAAGACGGUCUUGCUGUCACUUAUAGAUGGAUCCGCGCUGCAUUAGCUAGUUGGUAAGGUAACGGCUUACCAAGGCAACGAUGCAUAGCCGACCUGAGAGGGUGAUCGGCCACACUGGAACUGAGACACGGUCCAGACUCCUACGGGAGGCAGCAGUAGGGAAUCUUCCGCAAUGGGCGAAAGCCUGACGGAGCAACGCCGCGUGAGUGAUGAAGGUCUUCGGAUCGUAAAACUCUGUUAUUAGGGAAGAACAUAUGUGUAAGUAACUGUGCACAUCUUGACGGUACCUAAUCAGAAAGCCACGGCUAACUACGUGCCAGCAGCCGCGGUAAUACGUAGGUGGGCAGCGUUAUCCGGAAUUAUUGGGCGUAAGCGCGCGUAGCGGUUUUUUAAGUCUGAUGUGAAAGCCCACGGCUCAACCGUGGAGGGUCAUUGGAAACUGGAAAACUUGAGUGCAGAAGAGGAAAGUGGAAUUCCAUGUGUAGCGGUGAAAUGCGCAGAGAUAUGGAGGAACACCAGUGGCGAAGGCGACUUUCUGGUCUGUAACUGACGCUGAUGUGCGAAAGCGUGGGGAUCAAACAGGAUUAGAUACCCUGGUAGUCCACGCCGUAAACGAUGAGUGCUAAGUGUUAGGGGGUUUCCGCCCCUUAGUGCUGCAGCUAACGCAUUAAGCACUCCGCCUGGGGAGUACGACCGCAAGGUUGAAACUCAAAGGAAUUGACGGGGACCCGCACAAGCGGUGGAGCAUGUGGUUUAAUUCGAAGCAACGCGAAGAACCUUACCAAAUCUUGACAUCCUUUGACAACUCUAGAGAUAGAGCCUUCCCCUUCGGGGGACAAAGUGACAGGUGGUGCAUGGUUGUCGUCAGCUCGUGUCGUGAGAUGUUGGGUUAAGUCCCGCAACGAGCGCAACCCUUAAGCUUAGUUGCCAUCAUUAAGUUGGGCACCCUAAGUUGACUGCCGGUGACAAACCGGAGGAAGGUGGGGAUGACGUCAAAUCAUCAUGCCCCUUAUGAUUUGGGCUACACACGUGCUACAAUGGACAAUACAAAGGGCAGCGAAACCGCGAGGUCAAGCAAAUCCCAUAAAGUUGUUCUCAGUUCGGAUUGUAGUCUGCAACUCGACUACAUGAAGCUGGAAUCGCUAGUAAUCGUAGAUCAGCAUGCUACGGUGAAUACGUUCCCGGGUCU